rnacentral:rRNA from 1 species
GAUGAACGCUGGCGGUAUGCCUAACACAUGCAAGUCGUACGAGAGUUUUUAACUCUAGUGGCGGACGGGUGAGUAACACGUGAGAAUUUGCCUUUAGGAGGGGGACAACAAUCGGAAACGAAUGCUAAUACCCCAUAUGCUUUCGAGUGAAAUGGAUUUUAUCCGCCUAGAGAGAAGCUCGCGGCUGAUUAGCUUGUUGGUAAGGUAAGAGCUUACCAAGGCGACGAUCAGUAUCUGGUUUGAGAGGACGAUCAGACACACUGGAACUGAGACACGGUCCAGACUCCUACGGGAGGCAGCAGUGGGGAAUUUUCCGCAAUGGGCGAAAGCCUGACGGAGCAAUACCGCGUGCAGGAAGAAGGGCCUUCGGGUUGU